rnacentral:rRNA from 1 species
UACAGAGACUGCAAGCGUUAUUCGGAUUCACUGGGCGUAAAGGGUGCGCAGGUGGCCAAGUGUGUUAGGCGUGAAAGCCCGGGGCUUAACCCCGGAAUUGCACCUAAAAACUACUCGGCUAGAGCAUUGGAGAGGGGAGCAGAAUUCAUGGUGUAGCAGUGAAAUGCGUAGAUAUCAUGAGGAAUACCAGAGGCGAAGGCGGCUCCCUGGACAAUAGCUGACACUCAGGCACGAAAGCGUGGGGAGCAAAAGGG